rnacentral:tRNA from 1 species
GGCUUAGUAGUCAAUUAUGAUUUUAAAUUGCAAAUUUAAAGGUAAGUUAUUUUCUAGGCUU